UGGGGAAUAUUGGACAAUGGGCGCAAGCCUGAUCCAGCAAUGCCGCGUGUGUGAAGAAGGCCUGCGGGUUGUAAAGCACUUUCAGUGGGGAGGAAAGCCUUUAGGUUAAUACCUUAGAGGAUUGACGUUACCCACAGAAGAAGCACCGGCUAACUCUGUGCCAGCAGCCGCGGUAAUACAGAGGGUGCGAGCGUUAAUCGGAAUUACUGGGCGUAAAGGGUGCGCAGGUGGUUAGAUCAGUCAAAUGUGAAAUUCUCGGGCUUAACCUGAGGACUGCGUUUGAUACUGUUUAGCUAGAGUAUUGUAGAGGAAAGUGGAAUUUCCGGUGUAGCGGUGAAAUGCGUAGAUAUCGGAAGGAACAUCAGUGGCGAAGGCGACUUUCUGGACAAAUACUGACACUGAGGCACGAAAGCAUGGGGAGCAAACAG
rnacentral:rRNA from 1 species